CACGUAGGGCGCAAGCGUUGUCCGGAAUUAUUGGGCGUAAAGAGCUCGUAGGCGGUCUGUUACGUCUGCUGUGAAAACCCAGGGCUUAACCCUGGGCUUGCAGUGGAUACGGGCAGACUAGAGGCAGGUAGGGGAGAAUGGAAUUCCCGGUGUAGCGGUGAAAUGCGCAGAUAUCAGGAGGAACACCAAUGGCGAAGGCAGCUCGCUGGAACGGUACUGACGCUGAGGCGCGAAAGCGUGGGGAGCAAACAGG
rnacentral:rRNA from 1 species